AUAAGUAAAAUUAUUUUAUAUUUUUUUUUAAUUUUAAUUUAAAUUAAAUAAGUUUUUUGUUAUAGUAAUUUGAUUGAAGAAAUUGUUUAAAAUUAUAGUUUAUUAGGUAUUGUGAAAGAUAUUAGGUUUAAUAAGUGAAAGUUAAUUUUAUUAAUUGUAUCUUGUGUAUCAAAGUUUAUUAAAAUGGAAUUAUUUAUGUUUUUUUUCUUGGAGUGUAAAGAUUUAAAUAAAUAUUUUAUUUAUUGUGUUAUAAAUAUUAAUAAUAUUUUUUUGGAAGUGAUAUGUUAAUCGUUUUUUAAGAUAUCUAGUUUUUUAAUAAAUAAAUUUAGUUUAGAGGAUAUAAUUUUAUUAAAUUGGUGAAUUAUUGAAAAUAAAUAUAUAUUUUUUAUUUUUAAAGGGAUGAUCUUUUAAAAAUAUAUUUAUAAUGAUUGAAAUUUAAAAAAUUUUAUGAGUUUGGAAUUUGUUAUUAUUUAAGGAUGUUAAUAUUUAGUUUUGAUUUAUUUAUAUGAUUUUAUUUUUAUUUAAUUUUUUUAUUAAAAUUUUGAUUUUAAUUUAAAAUAUUUAGUUUUUAUGAUUUAAUUAGUAAUUUUUUAAAUAGAAGAAUUAUAUUUUAUUUUAAGGAAUUAGGCAAAAUUUUACUCGCCUGUUUAAUAAAAACAUGGUUUCUUGCUUAUUUAAGAAAUUUAACCUGCCCAUUGAUUUAAAUUAAAAGGCCGCAGUAUAUUGACUGUGCAAAGGUAGCAUAAUCAUUAGUUUUUUAAUUAAAGGCUUGUAUGAAUGGUUGGACGAAGUAAUUACUGUCUUGUAAUAAUUAAUUGAAUUUGGAUUUUAAGUUAAAAUACUUAAAUGUGAUUAAGGGACGAGAAGACCCUAUAGAAUUUAAUAAGUAUUAUAAUUGAAUGAAGUUAAUAUAUAUAUAUUUCUUUUUAUUUUUUUUUGACUUAUUUAGUUGGGGUGAUUAAAAGAUAAGAAUAACUCUUUUUUUUUAUAAAUAUUUUAAUUAAUUUAAAUAUCUAUAAUUUUAUGAUUAGGAGAUAAAAUUACCUUAGGGAUAACAGCAUAAUUUUUUUUAAAAGUUCAUAUUGAAAAGGAAGAUUAUGACCUCGAUGUUGGAUUAAGAUUAAAUUUGGGUGAAGAAGCUUAAUAUUAUAGGUCUGUUCGACCUUUAAAAUCUUACAUGAUCUGAGUUUAAACCGGUGUGAGCCAGGUUGGUUUCUAUCUUUAAAAAGAUUUAAAUAUUUUAGUACGAGAGGACCAAAUAUUUGAAAUAAUUUUUUUUUGGAUGAAUUUUAAUAAAUA
rnacentral:rRNA from 1 species